UGCCUCAGUAUCGGCGAGUGAAGCGGCAAAAGCUUAAAUUUGAAAUCUGGCACUAGCCCGAGUUGUAAUUUGUAGAGGAUGCACAUCUUCAGCAAGAGGCUUUGAGUCUAAGUUCCCUGGAACGGGAUAUCAUGGAGGGUGAGAAUCCCGUACAUGGUUCAUUGUCUCUUGCAUCAUGAAGCUCCUUCAACGAGUCGAGUUGUUUGGGAAUGCAGCUCAAAACAGGAGGUAAAUUCCUUCCAAAGCUAAAUAUUAGCCAGAGACCGAUAGCGAACAAGUAGAGUGAUCGAAAGAUGAAAAGCACUUUGGAAAGAGAGUUAAAAAGUAUGUGAAAUUGUUGAAAGGGAAGCGCUUGCAACCAGAUUUUUCACUGUAGGUUAGAUCAUCUAGGCUCUUUGGCCUAGUGUACUCUACCUAUAUUGUGUGCCAGCAUCGGUUUGUUAGUCGAGAGAAAAAGGUAGUGUGUUGUCAAUUCCUCCGGGUAUUUGGCAUGCAUUUACAGGUACAUCUUGAACCCAGACCGAGGACAGCGCUUUUGGCAUGGAUGCUGGUGUAAUGGUUGUAAGCGGCCCGUCUUGAAACACGGA
rnacentral:rRNA from 1 species